UACGUAGGGGGCUAGCGUUGUCCGGAAUCGAUUGGGCGUAAAGCGCGUGUAGGCGGUCCGGUAAGUCCGCCGUGAAAGUCGGGGGCUCAACCCUCGGAUGCCGGUGGAUACUGUCGGGCUUGAGUACGGAAGAGGCGAGUGGAAUUCCUGGUGUAGCGGUGAAAUGCGCAGAUAUCAGGAGGAACACCAAUUGCGAAGGCAGCUCGCUGGGACGUUACUGACGCUGAGACGCGAAAGCGUGGGGAGCAAACAGG
rnacentral:rRNA from 1 species